UGAUCAUAGACGCAUCCCACCCCGGUGCUUGUCACAAUUCCUUUGUGUGGAAUACCAGCGAGCUACGAACUCACCUUGGACAAGAAUAUCUAAAAGACGUGGGCAAUUAUUUUCUGCUUGGAGACGCUGGAUAUCCUCUAGAGCCGUGGCUUUUAACUCCGCAUAGAAAUCCACAGGAAGGAUCUGUUGCAAUGAAAUUCAACGAAGUUCACUCGCAAUGCAGAAACGUUAUAGAACGUACGAAUGGGGUGCUAAAAAAUCGGUGAAGAUGCCUUCUUGGAGCAAGAGAG